UCCCUCCACUGAUUAAAGAAGCCCAGCCCCGACCCUGCAGCUGGGAGAGGAACUCCAGCCCCAGGGUUCCCAGGUGACCCCAUUCAGUGCUCAGGACACAACACAGACAAACCACCAUGGAGUCUGUGCUCUGCUGGGUUUUCCUUGUCGCUAUUUUAAAAGGUGUCCAGGGUGAGGUGCAGCUGGUGGAGUCUGGGGGAGACCUGGUGAAGCCUGGGGGGUCCUUGAGACUGUCCUGUGUGGCCUCUGGAUUCACCUUCAGUAGCUAUGGCAUGAGCUGGGUCCGUCAGUCUCCAGGGAAGGGGCUGCAGUGGGUCGCAGCUAUUAGCAGUAGUGGAAGUAGCACAUACUACGCAGACGCUGUGAAGGGCCGAUUCACCAUCUCCAGAGACAACGCCAAGAACACGCUGUAUCUGCAGAUGAACAGCCUGAGAGCCGAGGACACGGCUGUGUAUUACUGUGCGAAGGACACAGUGAGUCGACCUCAGUGUGAGUCCAGACACAAACCUCCCUGUAGAAGGGGAUCAGGACCACCAGGGGGUGCACAGUCCUCACCACUUCUGUGUUCAAGGCCCAGGAGCAGAUGCAGAUGGAGGCUCUGGACAGGUUUCCUGUCAGGGUCUGGUCUUCCUCUCCAAGGAGCAGUUUCCCCAAGGGAGUCUCUUUGGGUACAGGAUUCUUUGCUUACAUAUUCAAUCUCUAACUUACACACUUUGUUGUCAUAGAAAGUGAAAUAUUCCAACACCCAAAAAUGGUAGU